CACCUACGGGAGGCAGCAGUGGGGAAUAUUGCGCAAUGGGCGAAAGCCUGACGCAGCGACGCCGCGUGGACGAUGAAGGCCUUCGGGUUGUAAAGUCCAAUAAGCAGGGAAGAAUAAGUGGAGUAAAACAUGCUUCAUGAUGACGGUACCUGUCUAAAGCCUCGGCUAACUACGUG
rnacentral:rRNA from 1 species